rnacentral:rRNA from 1 species
UACGGAGGAUCCAAGCGUUAUCCGGAUUUAUUGGGUUUAAAGGGUGCGUAGGCGGCUUUUUAAGUCAGGGGUGAAAACUUGCGGCUCAACCGUAAGCUUGCCUUUGAUACUGAGGAGCUUGAAUACACUUGAGGUAGGCGGAAUGUGACAAGUAGCGGUGAAAUGCAUAGAUAUGUCACAGAACACCAAUUGCGAAGGCAGCUUACUAAAGUGAGAUUGACGCUGAGGCACGAAAAGCGUGGGGGAUCAAAACAGG